CAGCCGCCGCGGUAAUACGGAGGGAGCUAGCGUUGUUCGGAAUUACUGGGCGUAAAGCGCACGUAGGCGGCUUUGUAAGUUAGAGGUGAAAGCCUGGAGCUCAACUCCAGAAUUGCCUUUAAGACUGCAUCGCUUGAAUCCAGGAGAGGUGAGUGGAAUUCCGAGUGUAGAGGUGAAAUUCGUAGAUAUUCGGAAGAACACCAGUGGCGAAGGCGGCUCACUGGACUGGUAUUGACGCUGAGGUGCGAAAGCGUGGGGAGCAAACAGGAUUAGAUACCCCGGUAGUCCCUGUCUCUUAUAA
rnacentral:rRNA from 1 species